rnacentral:rRNA from 2 species
GGGUUGUGAGGUUAAGCGACUAAGCGUACACGGUGGAUGCCCUGGCAGUCAGAGGCGAUGAAGGACGUGCUAAUCUGCGAUAAGCGUCGGUAAGGUGAUAUGAACCGUUAUAACCGGCGAUUUCCGAAUGGGGAAACCCAGUGUGUUUCGACACACUAUCAUUAACUGAAUCCAUAGGUUAAUGAGGCGAACCGGGGGAACUGAAACAUCUAAGUACCCCGAGGAAAAGAAAUCAACCGAGAUUCCCCCAGUAGCGGCGAGCGAACGGGGAGCAGCCCAGAGCCUGAAUCAGUGUGUGUGUUAGUGGAAGCGUCUGGAAAGGCGCGCGAUACAGGGUGACAGCCCCGUACACAAAAAUGCACAUGCUGUGAGCUCGAUGAGUAGGGCGGGACACGUGGUAUCCUGUCUGAAUAUGGGGGGACCAUCCUCCAAGGCUAAAUACUCCUGACUGACCGAUAGUGAACCAGUACCGUGAGGGAAAGGCGAAAAGAACCCCGGCGAGGGGAGUGAAAAAGAACCUGAAACCGUGUACGUACAAGCAGUGGGAGCACGCUUAGGCGUGUGACUGCGUACCUUUUGUAUAAUGGGUCAGCGACUUAUAUUCUGUAGCAAGGUUAACCGAAUAGGGGAGCCGAAGGGAAACCGAGUCUUAACUGGGCGUUAAGUUGCAGGGUAUAGACCCGAAACCCGGUGAUCUAGCCAUGGGCAGGUUGAAGGUUGGGUAACACUAACUGGAGGACCGAACCGACUAAUGUUGAAAAAUUAGCGGAUGACUUGUGGCUGGGGGUGAAAGGCCAAUCAAACCGGGAGAUAGCUGGUUCUCCCCGAAAGCUAUUUAGGUAGCGCCUCGUGAAUUCAUCUCCGGGGGUAGAGCACUGUUUCGGCAAGGGGGUCAUCCCGACUUACCAACCCGAUGCAAACUGCGAAUACCGGAGAAUGUUAUCACGGGAGACACACGGCGGGUGCUAACGUCCGUCGUGAAGAGGGAAACAACCCAGACCGCCAGCUAAGGUCCCAAAGUCAUGGUUAAGUGGGAAACGAUGUGGGAAGGCCCAGACAGCCAGGAUGUUGGCUUAGAAGCAGCCAUCAUUUAAAGAAAGCGUAAUAGCUCACUGGUCGAGUCGGCCUGCGCGGAAGAUGUAACGGGGCUAAACCAUGCACCGAAGCUGCGGCAGCGACGCUUAUGCGUUGUUGGGUAGGGGAGCGUUCUGUAAGCCUGCGAAGGUGUGCUGUGAGGCAUGCUGGAGGUAUCAGAAGUGCGAAUGCUGACAUAAGUAACGAUAAAGCGGGUGAAAAGCCCGCUCGCCGGAAGACCAAGGGUUCCUGUCCAACGUUAAUCGGGGCAGGGUGAGUCGACCCCUAAGGCGAGGCCGAAAGGCGUAGUCGAUGGGAAACAGGUUAAUAUUCCUGUACUUGGUGUUACUGCGAAGGGGGGACGGAGAAGGCUAUGUUGGCCGGGCGACGGUUGUCCCGGUUUAAGCGUGUAGGCUGGUUUUCCAGGCAAAUCCGGAAAAUCAAGGCUGAGGCGUGAUGACGAGGCACUACGGUGCUGAAGCAACAAAUGCCCUGCUUCCAGGAAAAGCCUCUAAGCAUCAGGUAACAUCAAAUCGUACCCCAAACCGACACAGGUGGUCAGGUAGAGAAUACCAAGGCGCUUGAGAGAACUCGGGUGAAGGAACUAGGCAAAAUGGUGCCGUAACUUCGGGAGAAGGCACGCUGAUAUGUAGGUGAAGCGACUUGCUCGUGGAGCUGAAAUCAGUCGAAGAUACCAGCUGGCUGCAACUGUUUAUUAAAAACACAGCACUGUGCAAACACGAAAGUGGACGUAUACGGUGUGACGCCUGCCCGGUGCCGGAAGGUUAAUUGAUGGGGUUAGCGCAAGCGAAGCUCUUGAUCGAAGCCCCGGUAAACGGCGGCCGUAACUAUAACGGUCCUAAGGUAGCGAAAUUCCUUGUCGGGUAAGUUCCGACCUGCACGAAUGGCGUAAUGAUGGCCAGGCUGUCUCCACCCGAGACUCAGUGAAAUUGAACUCGCUGUGAAGAUGCAGUGUACCCGCGGCAAGACGGAAAGACCCCGUGAACCUUUACUAUAGCUUGACACUGAACAUUGAGCCUUGAUGUGUAGGAUAGGUGGGAGGCUUUGAAGUGUGGACGCCAGUCUGCAUGGAGCCGACCUUGAAAUACCACCCUUUAAUGUUUGAUGUUCUAACGUUGACCCGUAAUCCGGGUUGCGGACAGUGUCUGGUGGGUAGUUUGACUGGGGCGGUCUCCUCCUAAAGAGUAACGGAGGAGCACGAAGGUUGGCUAAUCCUGGUCGGACAUCAGGAGGUUAGUGCAAUGGCAUAAGCCAGCUUGACUGCGAGCGUGACGGCGCGAGCAGGUGCGAAAGCAGGUCAUAGUGAUCCGGUGGUUCUGAAUGGAAGGGCCAUCGCUCAACGGAUAAAAGGUACUCCGGGGAUAACAGGCUGAUACCGCCCAAGAGUUCAUAUCGACGGCGGUGUUUGGCACCUCGAUGUCGGCUCAUCACAUCCUGGGGCUGAAGUAGGUCCCAAGGGUAUGGCUGUUCGCCAUUUAAAGUGGUACGCGAGCUGGGUUUAGAACGUCGUGAGACAGUUCGGUCCCUAUCUGCCGUGGGCGCUGGAGAACUGAGGGGGGCUGCUCCUAGUACGAGAGGACCGGAGUGGACGCAUCACUGGUGUUCGGGUUGUCAUGCCAAUGGCACUGCCCGGUAGCUAAAUGCGGAAGAGAUAAGUGCUGAAAGCAUCUAAGCACGAAACUUGCCCCGAGAUGAGUUCUCCCUGACUCCUUGAGAGUCCUGAAGGAACGUUGAAGACGACGACGUUGAUAGGCCGGGUGUGUAAGCGCAGCGAUGCGUUGAGCUAACCGGUACUAAUGAACCGUGAGGCUUAACCUUACAACGCCGAAGCUGUU